rnacentral:snoRNA from 14 species
UGGACCAAUGUUGGAAAUGUGUCAUGAACUAAGGAUAUGAAUUAAUCCAGUUCUGAGCGCCUGAUGUCCAUU